rnacentral:tRNA from 1 species
GCUGGUGUAGCGUAACUUGGUAGCGCAAGUGAUUUGUACUCACUGGGUUGCGGGUUCGAGUCCUGUCACCAGCUCCA